rnacentral:rRNA from 1 species
AUGCCUCAAAUUAAUUUUUCCUUUGAAAUACUCAUUGUUUUGAAUUUCGCACCGGAAACUUUUCUAGGAGAAGUUCGAAUCCGUUCCGUUCGGAUAUUGAUCGGUCUUGGUUUGACAUGGUUUACGCGUUACUGGUUCCCGGAAGAGUCAAUUUCUCCAUUAGCUAAACCCUUUAUUACCCUACCUUUGGACUCGUAUUUUGUUUGUACACAAUCAACGGAGGCCCCCCGACAUAUGUUGCAACGUCUUCAAUAG